rnacentral:rRNA from 1 species
AGCGAACGCUGGCGGCAGGCUUAACACAUGCAAGUCGAACGGGCGUAGCAAUACGUCAGUGGCAGACGGGUGAGUAACGCGUGGGAACGUACCUUUUGGUUCGGAACAACCCAGGGAAACUUGGGUCUAAGUACCGGAUAAGACCCUUACGGGGAAAGAUUUAUCGCCGAAAGAUCGGCCCGCGUCUGAUUAGCUAGUUGGUGUGGUAACGGCGCACCAAGGCGACGAUCAGUAGCUGGUCUGAGAGGAUGAUCAGCCACAUUGGGAC